rnacentral:rRNA from 1 species
GACGAACGCUGGCGGCGUGCUUAACACAUGCAAGUCGAACGGAAAGGCCCUGCUUUUGUGGGGUGCUCGAGUGGCGAACGGGUGAGUAACACGUGAGUAACCUGCCCUUGACUUUGGGAUAACUUCAGGAAACUGGGGCUAAUACCGGAUAGGAGCUCCUGCUGCAUGGUGGGGGUUGGAAAGUUUCGGCGGUUGGGGAUGGACUCGCGGCUUAUCAGCUUGUUGGUGGGGUAGUGGCUUACCAAGGCUUUGACGGGUAGCCGGCCUGAGAGGGUGACCGGGGAGAGUGGGGGGGGGAGGCGGCGGAGACUACUACGGGAGGCAGCAGUGGGGAAUGUUGCACAAGGGGCGGAAGGCUGAUGCAGCAAGGCGGGGAGCGGGAUGACGGCAUGGGGGUUGUAAAGGGCAGGCGCAUGUGAAGAAGCGGGCGUGACGGGAAUGGGUAAAGAAGCACCGGAUAAGUAAGGG